ensembl:snoRNA SNORA75 Small nucleolar RNA SNORA75
GUCUUCUCCUUGAGUUCCUCUCUGUCAUUUGGUGGCAGCUUUGGAUUUGCAUGAGAGGAAAUGGCAAUUCACAGAUGCAGUAGUACUUGACCUUCUGUCCUCCCACGAAAGUCUGUUCGGCUAUUUGGCGAGACAUUC